AUUCAAAAUAAACAAAUCUAUGAAGACAGAAAGAUUAGUCGUUGACAGGGAAUGAACAGAAAAGGAAAUUGGGAGGUACAAGGCUUCCCCUUGGGGCUGAAGAAAAUAUUCUGGAAUUAGAUAAGGAUAAUGGUUGUACAAUAUUGUAAAUAUACUAAAAUAUCACUAAAUUGCAUGCUGCAAAAUAUUUAAAAUGGUGAAUUUUGUUGCUAUUUUCAAAACAUGUGUUUCCCUGGAAAUCAUAUGCUAAAACUUAAUCUCCAAUGCAACAGUGUUAAGAGGUGGGGUCUUUGGGAAGUGAUUAGGCCAUGAGGGUCCCACCUCCAUGAAUGGGAUUAGUGCCCUUACAAAGAGGAUUGAGGGAGCCUGCAAGCCCCUGCUGCCAUGUGAGUACACAUAGAAGUCGCCUUCUACAAGGAACUGAAUCUGCUGGUGUCUCGAUCUUGAACUUCCCAGCCUCCAGAACUGUAAGAAUUAAAUUUCUGUUGUUUCUAAGUUAUCCCAAUUAAAGUCUUUUCCUAUAGCAACCCAGAUGGACUAAGACAUUUGUUAAGUGAAUUUUACCUAAAAAAAAAAUUUCUAUAUCAGAGUUGUUAAAGAAUGAUGAAACUAGCACUCAAUACCUGAAAUAAAAGAGCAAAACUGAA
rnacentral:lncRNA from 1 species